ensembl:lncRNA
CAGGACUGUACCAAAUGUAAUAUAACCAAACCCUCUCACCAACUACCUGCUGGCCUCUUACAACCUCUAUCCACAACACCCGUGGUCACAUAUAUAGACUUUGUCACAGAUCUACCCUUGUCGGGGGGCUAUACCACUGUCCUCACAGUCAUUGACAGAUUCUCUAAGGCAUGUCGCUUGAUCCCUCUGCCCAAAAUACCCACAGCUCUCGAAACAGCAAAAUCCUUAUGCCAUUAUGUGUUCAGGUUUUAUGGCCUUCCUGAGGACAUAGUCUCCGAUCGGGGUCCACAAUUCACCUCCUGAGUCUGGUCUGCCUUCUGACAGUAACUGGGUAUCAAUGUCAGCCUUACCUCCGGUUAUCACCCUCAAUCCACUGGCUAGGUGGAACGUUUGAACCAAGAGCUCACCCGCUUUCUACGCUCAUACUGCCACCGAAAUCAGGCAAAUUGGAGUCGUUAUCUAUUAUGGGACGAAUAUGCUCAGAACUCCCUCCACAAGCCAGCCACAGGCCUCACUCCUUUCCAAUAUGUUCCGGGUUUCCAACCUCCCUUAUUCCCAAGGUCCGGGGAGCCCUCAGACUUACCUGCUGUUAAUUCAUGGCUCCAAUGGAGCGAGGAGACCUGGAAUGAGGCACAUGUCCACCUUCAACGGACCAUCUGUCGAACAAGGGAACAAGCUGAUCGUCAUCGACUUGCCAAUCCCAACUGUCAGCCUGAUCAGUGGGUCUGGUUGUCUACCCGUGAUCUUCGCCUAAGACUCCCUUGCAAGAAGCUCAGUCCCAGCCCACUGGUGGUUCGAGAGGAGAAGAGGACCAGGAGGAAGCUGGUGACCAGAGAACCCCUCCCAUCAUCGUGGAAGGUGAGGAGGCGUAUAGAGUUCACAAGAUCCUGAAUUCUUAUCGCCGGGGCAGGUUACUCCAGUAUCUAGGGGAUUGGGAGGGGUAUGGUCCGGAGGAGCAGUCCUGGGUCAACGCAGAAGACAUUCUAGAUCCCUCUCUUACCACUGACUUUCAUGGGACCCAUCCAGAUAAACCAGCCCUGAGACCACAUGGAAGACCCCAACGUCUUCUGCCUCCUUGUGUCAGGAGCAGCUCGCAGGGAGGGGGCUCUGUCACAAAUCAAGCCUCUGUGGCUCCUUCUGAUCACCACCAGAGGGAACCAUCACCAGAGUACUAACUCUCCUUGCAGACUUAAUUUCCCAUAACUCUGUGCCUGAGACUGAUUACCUGCACAGGUGCCUAUUAUUAACAUGACUAUUUAAUCAGUGCCUAUCCUCACCUUUGUGCGACAUCUUGUUUUGCUACUGCUGACAUUUCUGAGCAAUUGUACCCUGUUUGAUUACCUGUUGCCUACCUGGAUUGUUUAUACCCAUCUGAUUGUUCUCUGCCUGCCUCUCUGACCCUGCCUGUUUACUGGAUUUGUUCUACUCCCUGUCUGCCACCUGCCUCGAC